UACGGAGGGGGCUAGCGUUGUUCGGAAUUACUGGGCGUAAAGCGCACGUAGGCGGCUUUGUAAGUUAGAGGUGAAAGCCCGGAGCUCAACUCCGGAACUGCCUUUAAGACUGCAUCGCUUGAACGUCGGAGAGGUAAGUGGAAUUCCGAGUGUAGAGGUGAAAUUCGUAGGUAUUCGGAAGAACACCAGUGGCGAAGGCGACUUACUGGACGACUGUUGACGCUGAGGUGCGAAAGCGUGGGGAGCAAACAGG
rnacentral:rRNA from 1 species